rnacentral:rRNA from 1 species
AGAUUGAACGCUGGCGGCAGGCCUAACACAUGCAAGUCGAGCGGCAGCACGGGUACUUGUACCUGGUGGCGAGCGGCGGACGGGUGAGUAAUGCCUAGGAAUCUGCCUGGUAGUGGGGGAUAACGCUCGGAAACGGACGCUAAUACCGCAUACGUCCUACGGGAGAAAGCAGGGGACCUUCGGGCCUUGCGCUAUCAGAUGAGCCUAGGUCGGAUUAGCUAGUUGGUGAGGUAAUGGCUCACCAAGGCGACGAUCCGUAACUGGUCUGAGAGGAUGAUCAGUCACAC